rnacentral:rRNA from 1 species
CUGUAGGUGAACCUGCGGAGGGA